CCAUCCACCCUGAACACACCUAAUCUCAUCUGAUCUUGGAAGUUAAGCAGGGUCAGGCUUGCUUAGUACUUGGACAGGACAGUAAGAAGGA
rnacentral:rRNA from 1 species